GAUGAACGCUAGCUACAGGCUUAACACAUGCAAGUCGAGGGGCAGCAUGGUCUUAGCUUGCUAAGGCCGAUGGCGACCGGCGCACGGGUGAGUAACACGUAUCCAACCUGCCGUCUACUCUUGGACAGCCUUCUGAAAGGAAGAUUAAUACAAGAUGGCAUCAUGAGUCCACAUGUUCACAUGAUUAAAGGUAUUCCGGUAGACGAUGGGGAUGCGUUCCAUUAGAUAGUAGGCGGGGUAACGGCCCACCUAGUCUUCGAUGGAUAGGGGUUCUGAGAGGAAGGUCCCCCACAUUGGAACUGAGACACGGUCCAAACUCCUACGGGAGGCAGCAGUGAGGAAUAUUGGUCAAUGGGCGAGAGCCUGAACCAGCCAAGUAGCGUGAAGGAUGACUGCCCUAUGGGUUGUAAACUUCUUUUAUAAAGGAAUAAAGUCGGGUAUGGAUACCCGUUUGCAUGUACUUUAUGAAUAAGGAUCGGCUAACUCCGUGCCAGCAGCCGCGGUAAUACGGAGGAUCCGAGCGUUAUCCGGAUUUAUUGGGUUUAAAGGGAGCGUAGAUGGAUGUUUAAGUCAGUUGUGAAAGUUUGCGGGCUCAACCGUAAAAUUGCAGUUGAUACUGGAUAUCUUGAGUGCAGUUGAGGCAGGCGGAAUUCGUGGUGUAGCGGUGAAAUGCUUAGAUAUCACGAAGAACUCCGAUUGCGAAGGCAGCCUGCUAAGCUGCAACUGACAUUGAGGCUCGAAAGUGUGGGUAUCAAACAGGAUUAGAUACCCUGGUAGUCCACACGGUAAACGAUGAAUACUCGCUGUUUGCGAUAUACAGCAAGCGGCCAAGCGAAAGCGUUAAGUAUUCCACCUGGGGAGUACGCCGGCAACGGUGAAACUCAAAGGAAUUGACGGGGGCCCGCACAAGCGGAGGAACAUGUGGUUUAAUUCGAUGAUACGCGAGGAACCUUACCCGGGCUUAAAUUGCAGAUGAAUUACGGUGAAAGCCGUAAGCCGCAAGGCAUCUGUGAAGGUGCUGCAUGGUUGUCGUCAGCUCGUGCCGUGAGGUGUCGGCUUAAGUGCCAUAACGAGCGCAACCCUUGUUGUCAGUUACUAACAGGUUCCGCUGAGGACUCUGACAAGACUGCCAUCGUAAGAUGUGAGGAAGGUGGGGAUGACGUCAAAUCAGCACGGCCCUUACGUCCGGGGCUACACACGUGUUACAAUGGGGGGUACAGAGGGCCGCUACCACGCGAGUGGAUGCCAAUCCCAAAAACCUCUCUCAGUUCGGACUGGAGUCUGCAACCCGACUCCACGAAGCUGGAUUCGCUAGUAAUCGCGCAUCAGCCACGGCGCGGUGAAUACGUUCCCGGGCCU
rnacentral:rRNA from 1 species